UUCUUGUUUCUUUUGUUAUGCUGAAUUUUUUCUCUUUAAAAAUUAGGUUUUAAUUAUUAUGUAUGAACAAUUUGGUUUUAUAUUAAGUUAUGUGUGUCUUUGUUAUUUUGUUAUGUGUAUAUGUGUUCAUAUUAUUUGCUUUAUCAUCAUACAACAUAUAUGUUGUUUAUUGUUUCGUCUUUCCCAUCCUUUUUGCUAAUGACAAAGGGGGAGAAGAUAUAUUUUUGGUUUUUGUA
rnacentral:lncRNA from 1 species